GGGAGCGGCGGUGGAAUGGCGGGCGGCGCGGAGCUGGCGUGGCGCCGCGGGCGGCGGUGCCUGUCCCCGGCCCGCAAGCGGCUCAGGCCGCUGCGGACUGUGGUGGCGUGGAGGGGCAGGGCGGAGUGGGACCAGGUGAUGGUGGGGCUGUACUGCGGGGACAGCCGGCUGCAGCAGGAAGCGCUGGACCGGGUCUCGGCCUGGAAGAGUCGGUAUGGUCCAAAAAUGCCUCUUGCAGUGGAUUGCACUGCUGAACUGAUUCGUUGCAAGGUCCUGGAUUCAUCUGGCAGAUUGAAGUCGCAUGAGCUCAUCCUCUCUUAUGGGCUGGCUCUUGUAAGGUUUGUCAACUUGAUCACAGAAAGGAAGCAGAAAAUGGUCAGCAUUCCUCUGAGACAAUUAGCCAGAGAGGUAGAUAUCCCCAUCUGGGUUGUGGAUCUCCGUCAUGAGCUGACCCACGGGAAGCUGCCACGGCUAGCUCUGUGCCGCAAGGGUUGUGAUGUUGUGCUGGAGUGGCUACGCAAGACCUAUUGGAGCCGUCAGCUGGGCAAUAACUUGUGUGAAGAAAGUGAGGAUGAGGAAGAGGAGCAGGAAGGGGUGGAAGCAAAUGCAGAGCUGGACAAUGAUGCGUGGGAGAUUCGAACUCCACAGCAUGAGGCCUGUCAGAAACACAAGGAAUUUCAUGAGAAAGUCAGAGAUGUGCUGAUAUCCUACAAGAAUGAGCAGUUUCGGGUUAUGCAGACUGUGCAGUCUGUUUCAAAAUCUCGAGAACUGUGGUCCGACUCCUCUUCAGAAGUGGACUGGAUUUUGGCUCAGAUCAAAGACCUGAUGCAAGAGAACAGGGAGACAGUGGCUGAAGCUCUUCUCAGUGAUGGCUUUCUCAUCCCAAAGAUGGAUUGUCUGAAGAUGCUAAAUAUCAAGUAUGAAGCAAAUAAAGAGGUAUGGCAGUUCAAAAUUCCUCAGACAUUUUACUGCUUUUGGCAGCCUUUGCUGACAGGCCUCCUUUCCCGAAGUUUUACACAGAUCCUAAUAGAGAAAAUGUUUAUGGAGUUGAAGGAAUGUUCUGACUCUUCAGAACUGCGGCCUCAGUUCUUGAUCAACUGGAUUUCUGAGAUGCUGACUGGCAUUGCCAAAGUAAAUGCUGGGAAGAAAAGACAACACUGUAACAAGCAGGUGUCCUCGAAGGAGCUGUUCCUCCAUAAAGUUCCCUUGCAGUGGAUAAGACUGACUGAUAAUUGCUUGGAAGCUCCCUGCUGGGCAACCCCACACCUUCUUCAGCUGAUCCUCACAAUCAUGAGACCUCGCUUGCCACGUUCUUCGCGGAAGAACCUUCUCUAUCUCGCUUCUGUUUACACGGAAGGAGGUGGCCCUUUGUCCAGUCCAGGCCUCUCUUCAGACUGCAGUGAACAGCCAAUUUACACUAUAGAGAGCUUACAGUGGAGGGCCAGGCAAGAAAAUCAGGUUAAAAAUCAAGGGCAGACUGUAGAGAAACAAGAAGAUGUGCUGGAGAGAGAUGAUGGUGUGGAGGAAGUGGAGGAGGAGGAAGAAGAGAUGGUAACUGAAACAAAUCCUUUGGAAGGACUUGCUCAUUCCGGUAACAUGGUGGCUAUUGCUGAGAAAAGGGCAGCACUGCAAGGGUCCGCCUGGCAGAUCACUGCAGAUGAAGUACGGUGGAAAGACUUUCCGCUUGGGAAACUCCCAGGUCAGACAGAUGACCCUGAUGGUCUCAUGCUGGAUAAUUACUCCAUGAUGUCCCUGCUUGAUCAGCCAGUGAGAGAUGAGUGGAAGUCUCCCAACACAAAACUUAAAGCAAAUGAAGGUAAUGAACUGCAGAAUGGGUUUCCUGGAGCAUGGAGUUUGACAUUAAUUUGGAAAAAGUGCUUUGGACAAGUCAUGUUACAGAAGCAGAACCUCUUGCUGCAGCCCUAAUUCACCAGGUCCACAGAUGAGAAUGGAGUGCUUGGUGAUCUUAUGAUGUGUUUAAUCUAUGUUGUUUAAAAUCUGCCUGAAUUCUGCCUGCCUUGUUUGAGGUCUGUGCUUCUUACUAAAUAGUUCCUAUGAAUCUGUAGCAAAACUUGAUUACAUACCAGGAAAAAUACGUUUCAGAUGACAACCUCCCUCCCCUUUUAAAGAUGAGCUCAAUCUCGAGAGACAGUCAAGAGCCCAUCUCUUUUCCUGUGUUUCACUUCUUUUUCUGCUUUUGUUGUUGUUUCUGGAUGUUCAGAAAAUUUGAGAAUGUGCCUUCCCUAUGCUGAAAGCAACAGCCUAGCUAUCCACGAAGUUUUCCCCCACAAGGAUGCUGGAUAAGUCAUUUUUUGUUCUUUCUCUGCUCAUAGUUUUCUGCCUGCCACUUAUCACACAGUUUGUGGAACUUUUGGACAUUUGUGGAACACUCUUGUGGAACCCUUUACACACAGUUUCUGUGGUUUGCCAUCAGAUCUUCCCAAAGAUAAGCAUGCUUUUUCCAAAACAGAAUAGCCUGGAUCUCAGAGAAGCAAAAUAGUUCAAAAAAGAUGAAUCCAGCAAAACCCAGUGAAUUUUGAGGCUGUACUCCAUUGUCACGUAUUUAGCUGUCUUUGCAGAUAUACUAUUGGAAGAAACUAGUGGCAAGCAAGUGGCUGGGGGAAAAAGUAGCACUUAUUAUGGAAACGGCACUUUCUCCCUUGAAUCCCAAGUAAUAAAGUGCUGUUGUUCUGCUUGGUGAUACUCCAGUUUCUUCCCUCCUGAAAAGUGGUUGAUCUGCUAUGAUGAGCUUGUUCUUGGCAACCUUCUUGCAGUACAGUUAAGACAGAGAAUGACGUCAGUGUCUAUCCCCUGAAUCCCUGUCCUGGGAAUGACAGCAGGUCUGUGAAGUCAUGAAUGAUGAGGAGUAUACAUCACAAGGGAGGAAAAAUUAUCCCAUUAGCAGGCUGAAUUCAGGAUAGUUUCCAACAGCCAGAGGGAGACUGUUGCGUCAUUACACUGGGUGUGAUAACUGUGAUGUUUCUGUGUUGGUUUUGUCUGCAAGGCCUCUGGCAGUGUCUCAUCUGAACAGGGAGUGUCUAAGAGGUGUUUUGACCUUAAAGGAGAAAUUAUCUGUCUCUCAGGAGCUCUGAACAACAGCCUCUGCUAUAUAGCCAGUUAUUCCUGUACUGAACAUCUGGAAAAGGCAUUGAGUUUUUUGGUGUAUAGCUUGAAGUUGCUGUAUAAAUAAAACCUUCCAAACAUCUCAAUCUUGUUUGCAGAAAUUAUUUUCUGUCUUCAGAGGUUUUUGGUUUUGUUUUAACAUGAGACAUAAGUUCCUGUGAUGCUUGGAUACUUUGGAAAAGCUUGGGGUUCCUUCCUCCCUGAUCCCAAAAGAUUGUGUUCUUUGGUGGGUUUUCUGGUGUAUGCUCUGUAUGUGUGUUGUCAAAGUUUGUGUUUAGUGUUGCUGUGGCAACCUCUGAAACUUUGAAUAGCUGCUGUCAUCCUCAGGCAGUCGUUUUGGUUUUUGUAAUAAGCAUAUGUGCUUUUUGUUUAUUCCCAGUGUCAGUUUUACCUGACAGGAGGGGCAAACUUGGCAAAUAAUGACCACUUGGAGAGUUUUCUGAGGGUGGAGUUUGCUGACAUGCAAUUGCUUUAGGGAUUGCAUCAAGUGGUUGCACAGACAUUUCAAAAAUGGGAUUCAUCAUGGUCAUGGAUAAUGACUAGAUUUUGUUGUCCUAAGGAUGAGAUGCAUAAGCAGCUCUGCAGAAUUGAAUAUUCCUGUGACAGGAGGAUUGUUAUGGACCCAGAAUGACUUCCAUAAAAUAAAAAGUGGCCUUCAACUUUUCUAAGACAGCAGAGUGCUCUGCGGCUUUCAAUAUUGCACAAGAUAAGUGGCAUGGAACAACUAGUAAUGGUGAUGGGGAAACAGCCACUCCAGGAUGUAUUUUUUUUCAUGAAGAUUUACUGAUUUUUACCAUGUAAAAUCAAUAUUUUAUAAAGGUGGUGUGUUUUAAGUUCCAUGUGUGGUAACCAUUGUCUUGCUUAACCACUAACAUUAACUUUCAGCUCUAGUUGAUGUUUGCCAAAUACAGUUAGAAUAUUUGGGAAUCCCUCAGUGUUCCUUAAUUUUUUUCAUAGUUAAUAAAUAGAACUGACUGAAGGCAAACCUUUUUUCUGGAUCCUGUUUUUGCUUUUUCAGUCAGGUAUUCUGGAAAGUGUCCUCUGGUCUUCCCCUCAUUAGCCAGGCUAUUGAGCCUUGCCUAUUUCAGUGAUGCUAAUUGUCCUGUGUGAGUUUGCAUGAUUUUGCCAGGAUAUGAUUGUGCUACAAUUUUCAUCUAGCUAGGAUUUCACAUGAAGCGUCAGGGAUCCAGCCUAGUUACAGCAUGGCUGAAUGCACCAUAGCGCAUAAAUAUCUUUUAAAUUUUUUUUCUCGCCAUUUUUUUCAAGUGAUAGUUUUGAGGCCUCUACUAUCUCUUUUUAAUUAGUUUUCUUCUUGAUGUUAUUUCUAUUUGUUAUUUUGCUGAGGUUGAUAACUAAUGCUGUGGUCUUUGCUGAGAGCUAGUGUGAUUACUGCAGUAAUGGACUUGAGUACCUUGUUGGAAAGUUGUUGAGAAAAAGGACCUCCACUUAGUUUUUUGUAAAUUCAGUUUUCUUUACCUGUAUUAAAGGUUCUUGGAACUUAGAGGCUUCUGCAGUUACCUAUCAGGAGUUCAAGCAUAUAUUCGUUGUGGGACUCCUCAGUAAGAAUUUGUUGGAGUGUAUCUGCUAGAGGGUAAGACAGAGCUUUCCUCUGAGUCAGUCUGGUAAUUUGCAGUAUUUACAAACCAAACAGAAACAGGAACGUGUCAGUGCAGCAUUGUGAAAUGGAAUCUUUUUAGUUCUUUAGAGCUACUGCUGACAUUAUGUGCUAAUGUUCUAUAGAAAGAGAUACAAAAAGGGACAUACAACUUUAGCAGUACAGUGGAUAGGAUUGAAUUGCAAGUUUAGAACAGCAACUUCAUGGAUGCUUUGGGCUGGCUCUCAAGUAAAGGCUUAGCUAAAUGUCCAUAAUGUAAGUAAUAUUUCUUUGUUCUAAUUUUUUGUCAUCCUGUUCUACUGCAGUUGCUCUUCACCAGACAGGCAAAAGUUAUUUAAAACAUGUUGUACAUUUCCUUCUCUAAAAACAAGCAGUGCUAGUGCAAAAGAAAACAAACUUCUCUUUUAGGAGAGAUUUUUCAUGUAAGUCCUUCCCCUUUCUAGUAUUUUGAGAAAUUUCUCCUUUUACCCAGCAGUUCCUCAAGCUUAUUUAGGCAAUUUUUAGUGAAGAGGAUUUAUUCUUUUAUUACUGUAUUUGGUAGAGUAUGAAAUUACUUAAGUUAUUGUAUUUGGUACUUCAGAGGUCUGUCAAUGCAACCAAGCACAACAGUUCAAAAAGGAAAGUGUGAUGCUGGCAAAUACUGUGCUGCAUGUAACCUUUUUCUGCUUUGGUGAAGAUUUACUUGGUAAAAUCAUGUGCUACUGUAAUUUCUUCAUCAGCUGUAGUAGUUACUGCCCUGUGCAUCCACCAUUACCCCACCUAGUGAAUUAUGGAAUAAAAACCUGGUCUUUGAUCUAAUUGCAGAGUCAAAUAAAUAGUUAAAUCCAGUGCUGUGUCUGACUUGUAGAAAAGCACAAAACUGCCAGAUGCUUUAAAAAAAAGAAUACCAAGAUUUGAGGAGAAGCCAUAGUAAUGGCAUGAAAUUUAAACUAAGUGUUACUGGGGGGGGUGGGGGGGAAGCAGGCUUGAAACAAAGGGGGCAGGGAAAGAGAAUGGCUGGAGAAAAGAAACAAAUGUUUUGGGUUUUAAAAAGUGAAAAAGGAGCUUCUAUUAAAAACCAGAAGUGUAAAACCUAGACAAUUAUGUAUCACCUUGUUCAGGAUGAUGAAACUUUGUGUUUGUUUGGUCUGAUUAAUUCACAGGAACAAUUUUGUAGCUACUUUUCCAAGUACCUCCGAAAUGACAAUGUUACUAUGAAUAAUACAAAAUAAAUGCAUAGAUAAUCUUAACCUUUAAAUCCAGCCAGUUCAAAUGACUUGAAAAGCAAGUAAGAAAACAGUUACUGUAUUGGGUACUUCUGAGUUAUGCAAACAUAACAGUUUAAAAAGGAAAGGGCAAUACUAGCAAAAUGCUGUGCUACAUGUAAUUUUUUUCCCCUUUGGUAAAAGUUUACUUGGUAAAAUGUGUUUUCAACAUGCUAAUUACUUUCUUUGCUGGAAGCACAUUCUGAGUGGGGAUAGGAAGGGCAAUGUUGCUGUAUUUCUAGAUUACCUGAUUUUUCCUUUGCAUUGGGCAGGCCUUCGUGAGACUGCUUUCUCCCUGUAAAUGAAUCUCUCCAGACAGAUUUUCACUGUCCAAAAAAACCCAUCUCUAAAGGGAAGCUAUAGAAAGGAUUGGAGACAGAAGCUGGGACUAUAUGGAAUAAAUCACGCAAAGAGGAAUUGCUGAGGAAGUUAAGGCCUGGGUCCACUGUUUGUGUGGCCUGUGAGCCCUUUUUCCUGGCUUUUUCCACCUUUUGAAUUUCUUUUCAAAGUAAGUAAUUGGACAGAGUAGUGGAACCUUAUUAGGAUAAUUUAUUGCUGGCCAUUCAAGUCUUCCAAUAUGCUGUUAUCUCAUUCCCGAAGGCAGAUACUCUGACAAGGACUUCAGCUCGACCCAGGGGUCACAGUUUUGGGGCAAAAACUGGAACAGUAAGAAUAUCCCAUGAAAUCUAAUUACUACUUGUUUUCAGGAGUGAUAUACUUGAGGAUGUAAAUUAAGCAUAAAGGGCCUGGGAUUAGGAAAAAGCAACUUUGUAAUACAGGUAUUUUAUUGUUUUUGAUUGGUUUUGUGGUGUCUUUUGAAUCCCCUGGUUCCUGGCCAUUGUGAGAACAAACAUGGUAAUGGUGAGACGUUCAGGCAAAUUCAGAUUGAGAUGAUCUUUAAAUUUGUGUAAUACAGAGAUGGACAAAGGAUGUUAUUCUGACAAGACAGUGGGACCUAAGUAGUACUUUUUUCUCUGCUUUUUAAAGAAAUGUAAAAUUCUUGUGCUGUUCCUUCACAGAUUUAAGCACAGAUGGAACAUUUGAGCAUUAUGUAUGAUUUCAGAAUCUGGGUAUUUUUCAGUAAGUCAACUAAAAAUACUGAGAAAUAAUUUAGACUACAACACUUGUUUUGGACAAAACAGGUUUUUGGGGCUCUCAUCUAAAGAGGGUUACAAAAUAAAAAGCUAGAUACAAAUAA